UGGAUUUUGUAGCUUAAACUCCAAGCAUAGCACUGAAAAUGCUAAGAUGGCAAAUUGCCCAAAUCCAA
rnacentral:tRNA from 1 species